AAAAUAUUUUCAAAAUGUCGAAAAAAUGUGAGAUUUCUCUGGAAGAAGUUGCAGAAAUCUGACAAAUGAAGGCUGCAAGCAAGCUAGUAUCUGAUAUUGCAGCUGAAUUUGGUCGUUCAGUGUCUGCUGUGUAUAAAGUAAUUAAAAAAACCAGUAAUUAUGACAAGAAGCCACGUCCAGGGAGACCAAGAUGUACAUCGCAGCAAGAUGAUCGUCGGAUAGUAUGGCUAACAUCAACCCAACAGCUAUCUCUAUCAAAAAUUCAACAAGUAAUUGGUAUAAAUGUCUCUAAUAAUACUAUUCACAGGCAUAUUUGACAAUAUGGGUA
rnacentral:lncRNA from 1 species